AGUUUUCUUCUGAACACAUGCAUCUGCAGAAAGUAAAGUGUCUACUUUUUGACUGGUAUCAUAUAUUUAUUUUUAUUUUUCCCUCAGUCUAAUCCAGACAUUUAAUAAAAUAACAGACUAAUAUCUAUUCCUUUUAAUGGGUUAACUAUUUUCAAAACUUCUUUUUCUUUCAGUAUUAAAUUCACUUUACAAACUUUUGCUGUCUGUGUUCAUACAUUUCAGCUUUAAUAUAAAAUUUGAGCCGAACUUAUCAAGAGGAAGAAAUGGAUUCCCAUUCACAGUAUGUAAAUCUUGUGUUGUGUUCAGAAAGAAAAUUAAAUACUUUAUAUGAUAUCUACCCCAAUAAAUGUAACUCUACAUUACUUCUAUAAAUAAUCGGACCACAAGAACCAGUCAUGUUGACCUUUUAUUACCUCACUAAUUACAGGUAAUAUUCAUAAAAAGAUUCGAUAAGAUUACAUCUGUUACAGAUUUAUUAUGUAAAUGUGGAUUUUCAUUGGUCAAAAUAGUGUAUUAUGUCACCAAUCUUUUUCUAUGUUCUUUGUCAACAUGAGAGAUAAAUAUUUUGGUCAGACUAUAUAUAUUAAUGAUUAUUUUUACAUCAUGUAUAAUGAAACAUCAAGGAAAAUACAAUCAGGGCAUUGGUGAUACAAAUACUUGUGAAGUAAAAAGGUCCUGAAAGCAUUCUUUGUUCCAUAGACAAACAAAUCAAGAGACAAAUUUAGUGUAUUCAUUUAUGUACCAACCUCGCUUUCUGUACCCUAUACUAUAUACCGAUGUUGGGUUACAGGUGAGGUACACCCUAGAGUCAUGGGUAACUGACCAAUCACAGCCAAGGUACACCCUAGAGUCAUGGGUAACUGACCAAUCACUGCUGAGGUACACCCUAGAGUCAUAGGUAACUGACCAAUCACAGCCAAGGUACACCCUAGAGUCAUGGGUAACUGACCAAUCACAGCCAAGGUACACCCUAGAGUCAUGGGUAACUGA